rnacentral:snRNA from 1 species
GGAUGUGAGGGCGAUCUGGCUGCGACAUCUAUCACCCCAUUGAUCGCCAGGGUUGAUUCGGCUGAUCUGGCUGGCUAGGCGGGUGUCCCCCUCCUCCCUCACCGAUCCAUGUGCGUCCCUCCCGAAGCUGCGCGCUCGGUCGAAGAGGACGACCUUCCCCCCCGAGGACCGGUCUUCGGUCAAGGGUAUACGAGUAGCUGCUCUCCCCUGCUAGAACCUCCAAACAAGCUCUCAAAAUAACGAACGCCCUGGCUUGUGUGGCUCAGUUGGUUGGGUGUCAUCCCAA